rnacentral:rRNA from 1 species
UACGUAGGUGGCAAGCGUUAUCCGGAAUUAUUGGGCGUAAAGCGCGCGCAGGUGGUUUCUUAAGUCUGAUGUGAAAGCCCACGGCUCAACCGUGGAGGGUCAUUGGAAACUGGGAGACUUGAGUGCAGAAGAGGAAAGUGGAAUUCCAUGUGUAGCGGUGAAAUGCGUAGAGAUAUGGAGGAACACCAGUGGCGAAGGCGGCUUUCUGGUCUGUAACUGACGCUGAGGCGCGAAAGCGUGGGGAGCAAACAGG